CGAAACCACAGCCAAGGGAACGGGCUUAGAGGAAUCAACGGGGAAAGAAGACCCUGUUGAGCUUGACUCUAGUCCGACUUUGUGAAAUGACUUGAGAGGUGAAGGAUAAGUUGGAGCCUUAAACUUAG